rnacentral:misc_RNA from 1 species
AAGUCGUAACAAGGUUUCCGUAGGUGAACCUGCGGAAGGAUCAUCAAAGAGUGAUCGUGUGUGGGGGAGGAGAGUUUAUGCGCGCAACGCGCGCGCGCCUCCUCCUCCCCACGCCAAUCUUGUGUGAACCGUUAUUCUGUGGUGUGUGUAUGCGUUGGUGUGUGAUGUGUUUACAGCACUCCCACCAGCAUCACAAACACAAUAAUCUCUCUCUUUAACCUUUGUCUAACAUGAGGUACCCACAAUUCAAAACAACUUUUAACAAUGGAUCUCUUGGCUCUC